rnacentral:rRNA from 1 species
GACGAACGCUGGCGGCGUGCUUAACACAUGCAAGUCGAACGGAGUGGCGAACGGGUGAGUAACACGUGGGUGAUCUGCCUUGCACUUCGGGAUAAGCUUGGGAAACUGGUUCUAAUACCGGAUAGUGCAAGAUGAGCUCGCGUCUUAUGAGCUUGUUGGUGGGGUAUUGGCCUACCAAGGUGUCGACGGGUAGCCGGCCUGAGAGGGUGUACGGCCACGUUGGGACUGAGAUACGGCCCAGCCUCCUACGGGAGGCAGCGGUGGGGAAUAUUGCACAGUGAGCGGAAGUCUGAGGCAGCGACUCCGCGUGGGGGAUGAAGGCCUUCGGGUUGUAAACUCCUUUCGACAGGGACGCGGUACCUGUAUAAGAAGCACCGGCUAACUACGUGCCAGCAGCCGCGGUAAUAC